CCCAGCUUCAAAGGCUGUGCUAAAUCCUCACCGUGAAUUGGCAGAGUUUUCAGCAGCUCCUUCUCCUCAUCGGUCAACCUUACCAUUAACUGUAACACAAGGAAUACGUUGAUCAGAGCCAUGACAAGAGGACUACUUGCCAGCAUAAGGGCAUUCUGAUUCCUUUGACCCCCUCAAAGGCCAAGCAGCAGCAAAAUAAGUGGGCCGAGGUGGUGAAAGUACAGAGAUGCCAGAACAGAAGUUUCCUGCCUUUCCUCGUCUUCUCCCUUGAUGGCUUCACAGAGGAAGAGGCAAUCUAGAGCCAAAGUAAGAGUGUUGGUACCAGAGAUCACAUUGGUAAACCAGUAUUCUUGGACAAUGAACCUCUUAAAAGAU